rnacentral:rRNA from 1 species
AUGAAGAUCACCACUUGGCGGGUUGUUACAGAUACACUGGCUACACAAAAGUGCAAACAGCUGAGACAUUUGCCAACGCGAUCGACAUGUGCUCUUUGUGGCGUUGAGGAAGAGAGCACAUACCAUGCGCUGAUUGUAUGUACACAUGCAAGGAUUCUCUGGGUGAACAUGCGUCGCCGGUGGCCAUUACCAACUGAUGAUAUGCUCCUUAACUCUGGAAAGGAAUGGCUUUUAUCCUUGUUGAGCAAGUGCACUGCUGAUGUAAGGGACAUGCUGAUUAUGUUGGUGUGGAGGAUUUGGCAGACGAGGAAUGACUUGAUGCAUGGGACUGAGAGUACGUCAGUCGUUGCUAAUGUUGAUUAUUUGGACAGUUACUACAAGUCGAUCAAGCUGGCGGGUAGAUACUCCACUGAUGAGAUCAUGAAAGGCAAGAUGAUUAUCCAAGAGGCUCCACCCAACGUGCGUGCUGAGCGGCCCCUCACAGCUCCCUGGCCGGCGCCUGCAGUGGGGAGGGUGGCGCUCUCAGUGGAUGGUUCCUUCCAGGAGGAAGAUGGUACUGCGGCAACGGGUAUGGUUCUAAGGAACCCGGAUGGUACACUUAUCUUCGCAGCUUAUCGCUUCAUCUUCCACUGCAACGACUCGCUGGAGGCAGAACUACAUGCGUUGAUGCAAGGUAUGGCGCUAGCUAUACAACACUCGGACCUUCCGGUGGUGGUCCAGUCGGAUUCCUUGAAGGCCUUGUCCAGUCUAUCCAAUAAUGCUCUCUGUAAAUCAGCUUAUGGACACCUUGUGCUCGAGAUUAAGUAUCUGUUAGGUAAUAUGGAG